GUGGUCAGCAUUUCAUAGUAUAGGCCGGGUUUUCAACGCGCCAUACAUCGAAAAAUUUACGCUUUUGGAAAGCUUUAGGGUGCUCGUAUGAAAGUCCAAGCUCAGAGGAAUACGCCAAUGUGACAAUUCAGAAAUCUGGAAACAGCUUACUGACAGAUUAUAUCAUCUAUAGAAUUCCUGCCAAGAAAAUGACUUUACUUGUAGAGGUUACAGUGUGACAGUCAGUCCUACUGAGGAGGUCAAGAAGGUGUUCUUCAUCAUGCCACUGAGAGCUUUGUUGAUAACUUCUGCAUCUAGAGGAGAGAGGAAUGCACCGUAUAAUUCAAUGAGCAUUUCUUCAAAACUGCUCCUUCUACAAGGAUAAGUGCCACAAUGCGGGAGACAGGCAGGUUGGGAACAUCCGCAGAUCUUGAAACCCUUUCAAUAAAAUGCGGCCAACAGCAUUCCACUCAUCCCAUCCAAACUCUGGCUAGAUUGAUAGUACCUUCUCAAUCUCACUAGAUGAACUUGUCUGAUACAAUUCAGCCCCAAAUGCAGUGCAUGCCUCUCUCGAUACUCCAGCAGCGUCAGCUCCAACUUCACCUUGAAAACUGAAGAGCAAUGGGAUUUUCUGGAUGUAUGGGUCCUUGAAUACAUCUAUCAUGUCACACAGGAUGUUGCCCCUGUAGUGUUAUAGUUCGCUGGGCUCCCAUCAGAGAAGACAUGUAUGGAGGUGUAGAUGGUCCUUGUGGUACUGAUGCCAACGAGUAAGGAGGUUGAUGAGUUGCUGAUCAAGGCAGAAUGGGUGAACCAAUUUGAAAAGUUGGUAAGAGAGGGGGUGGGGCGGGUGGAUGAGGAGGCAGAUUUGGUGAAGGAGGAGGCCGAGUUGGUGAAGGAGGAGGCAAAGUUGGUGAGCAGGGGGCUGAGUGGAUAAGUCCUGUAGAGAGUGGUGCUGAGAUAGUAGGUAGACACUCAUUAUCACAGUCUUGUGCUGAGUGUGCUUGCCAUUCAGUUGAGAUGGUUUCUGCCUGUUUGUCAUAGCAGGCACUGGUAUGUGUUGUUUUGGUUUGCUUAGCAGGUCGAGUUUCCUCCUCCCUCUUUCCUAGUACAUUGCAGGAAUAUGUUGUGUGUAGAUAGAACCUCAAUAUCCUAUUCGGUUUCUCUUGCAUGUACAUAUCUCCAACUGUUGCAUCUGCCCCCAGUGGACAGUGGGUAAAAUCGUGAAGGCAGCACUCAGUACAAUCAGUUUGAGGCCUUUUUUGGACAUGCCAUUUCUGAAAAAGAGAAGUGUAGUUGCUUCCAGGAGGGCCUCCAGAUUGGCAUCUUUUUUUCAGAUCAAGUUUUCUCACACCUCCACCUCUGGAACUGGAGGGAUGUGUUUCAUUUUCAUCAUUUUUAAAAGGGUGGAUUUUUAAGUGAAAUCUGUCCAUUUUUUAUCUCUGCCCUGUCCCAGACCACAUGGAAGAGCGGAUUCUGCUAAGAAAUUAUAUGUAUUUAAUAUUCAUUGAUGUCUUCAAGCUCAUAGAUGCGAAAAGCUCACUGACUUUAGAUGCAAAAAUUGAAAAUAUCAAUAAUGGAAGGGUGUAACAGAGAAAUCACUGUCCAAGUGAACAACUUGAAAACAUUGUAAACCUUAAAUAUUUUAUAUAGGAUAUAAAUGGACAUUUAACUACUAGUACUUAUGUAUACUUGGUCAAGUUCCUGACUUAACCUAAAACGUCCGCCAUUUCCACAUGUACAUGUAUUUAUAGUGCACUCUACAACACCUUGUGGUUUGUUUUGUCUCUAGCAGUGGCAUUGAUAAAUGCCAUGGUAGUGUAAAUUAAGGGUGAUAACACUGAGUAGAAUUACACAUCCAGGUGCAGCCCAAAAGUUGUUAAGGAGUUGUUUUGCCAACUGGAAGGUAAAAUGUGUGAUUUGGAUGUGUGAGGGUUUUGGAUGAAUCGAGGUAGGGUAGACCAGAUCAGAUGUCGAUAGAAGACAGACGUGUGUGUUUGUUGUAUGAUCGCAUGAAUUUCAGCCACCAGGCGUAGCAAGCUACAGCGGGCUUUUGUUAUCAGCGAUCUGUCGAUAAGUGCUUGAUUUAUCGAGAUUUGUUUGUGAGCGUUUUGGCUCUGUAAAACACACUGAAGAAAGAAAUUCAGCAGUUCUGUCAACCAGACAACCGUAAGUGUUAAUUCUGAACUUAUCUGAUGUUUUAAGAGUUUUAAACACUGAAUUCAUGAGCUUAACAAAAGUGGAUUAAUUCAAGAAGUUGUCAGUAUUAAUGUUUCAGAAGGUUAGACUGUGGACUGUCGAUUAUUGGACUAUACAUGUACAUCGACAUUUGAAUUUACCGAGUUUUGCAGCAAGAAAUAGUUAUUAAGGGGAGCUAUAAAGAGGAACUAUUGAACAUAAAGUGUUCUUUUGAUUACUACCAAACAGUUGAAAAGAAUUUGUUAUGUGGAAUAUGGUUAAAUGUUUUUAAUUAUCAGAUGGCUUGAAGUUGAGGGACCAAACCCGAGAUACUGAAAUUUAUUGGUGCUCAAGCCACUCAAACCAAGGAGGAGCCAACCCAUAACUUAACCAAAGAGGCCGUGGGACACCCGGAGGCUGUGGUAUUUCCAAGGAUAGUGCCAGAUUCUAACCAGUUGCGGUCCAUAUAUAUAUCCUUAUUACAUCCAGAUCGCUUACUACAGUGAAUUAGAGAACUUAAAAUUGUAAUAAAAGCGAGCUGUAUAUUAAUUUUGUAUGAAGUUAGCUGUAUAAUUGCCUGCAGAUGACAUACAUAAGAAAGAGAAGACCUAUGUAUGCUUUUAUCGCCUGAAAAUUACCCACUGACGAGAUAGUGUAAAUACUUGUAAAUUUAUGAAAAUACAUACAGACUUUUGAGAACUAAGUAGAAGGUCUCUGGUGUUCCUUUCGUUGUUGGGUUGUAAAUAUAUUUAGUUGCAGACAGAAGGGACACACAGUUUGGGAAAUAUCCAGCAAUGCCCACCGUCACUACUUGUUCGCCCGGCCCUGGAUUCGUUCACCCAAUCCGUGU